AUGACAUGCAUGUCCAUAAAAGUAUAUAUUAAGGCCAUGCAAAGUCAAUUUGUAGUUUCUCAGGCCCUUGCGCUUGGAAAUUGGCAGUUUUACAAAAAAGUUAAAUAUCACGUGACCUCAAAUUAAAGGCACUAAAAGAAAAGAAAAGGAUAAAUUUGUAUGGUUUUUGGUCAUGAAAUAAUUAUGACUAGGUAAAAAAUUAUGCACUUCCGCUUAUUGAGGAAGGGAUCUCAAUCUGCUUGCUAUUUUAGGAAUAAUGAGCCUGAGAAACUACAAAUUGACUUUGCUUGGCCUAAUAGUCCAUGAGCUAGAGGUCUGGAAGAAUCAUAUUACGAGAUAGAGCUAAGCUAUGAUAGGGCUUCACCAAUUCUUGCUGUGUGUACUGCUGCUUCUCUGUUGUAGGCUACCCUCUGGAGAACAGUUGCAUGACCAGAGGUACAGAGUGGAGGAGGCUAGGGAGGAGGCUAGAGCUACCACUCCCUGUCUGUACAAGCCUACUGAUACAUCCCUCAACCUUGCUGAUCUGCGAAAAUGGCUAACAUCCGUCAUGUCCGAGCUUAACUAUACCUACGUUACUCCCGACGAUGGUACCACAAUGUUUAGGGCAUCUUCCAUUUUUCAAGCUGAUUUUACUUUUGGUUCGUCAGGAAGUAAACCGAAACAGAUACGGACAAACAAUUCACCUUGCUACGCCUGUGUCCCGUUAUUCUUGAAAAAAUUCAAACCUUCUACUUUUUCAUCUUUCACGAUAUAUGUUAGCCAUAUCUCAUCCAUGGGGAGUACUACUGAACUGGAGUGUAUGGCAAAACUGGUUGCAAACAAGAUCAAAGUGGUGAGCAUGGAUUGGGAGAAGUUUGCUAAUUCCUUGACCAAGGUUUGCAAAGAAGAAGUCAUGAACACUCUCAACAAUAAUGCAAACUUCAAGGAAGCACAAGAGGUUCUUGAUAAGCAGAUUCAGCAGAUAAAUAACUUGAGCAAAAACUCGACUGUUAGUCAGUUCUGUAAGUAGCUCAAUUAAUUUGUGUGGUUGUUUUUGUUAAUUGAUUUGCUGCCUUUGUAUUCGCAAAAAAAUGAUGCAAUAAACUAUAA